UGACAGAAAUGGACUCCAGGAGUAGAUC
rnacentral:piRNA from 1 species